rnacentral:rRNA from 1 species
UAGAAAGAUUAAACUGAAGAGUUUGAUCAUGGCUCAGAUUGAACGCUGGCGGCAGGCUUAACACAUGCAAGUCGAACGAUGAUUUCCCAGCUUGCUGGGAAUGAUUAGUGGCGGACGGGUGAGUAACAUUUAGGAAUCUGCCUAGUAGUGGGGGAUAGCUCGGGGAAACUCGAAUUAAUACCGCAUACGACCUACGGGUGAAAGGGGGCGCAAGCUCUUGCUAUUAGAUGAGCCUAAAUCAGAUUAGCUAGUUGGUGGGGUAAAGGCCCACCAAGGCGACGAUCUGUAACUGGUCUGAGAGGAUGAUCAGUCACACCGGAACUGAGACACGGUCCGGACUCCUACGGGAGGCAGCAGUGGGGAAUAUUGGACAAUGGGGGCAACCCUGAUCCAGCCAUGCCGCGUGUGUGAAGAAGGCCUUUUGGUUGUAAAGCACUUUAAGCAGGGAGGAGAGGCUAAUGGUUAAUACCCAUUAGAUUAGACGUUACCUGCAGAAUAAGCACCGGCUAACUCUGUGCCAGCAGCCGCGGUAAUACAGAGGGUGCGAGCGUUAAUCGGAAUUACUGGGCGUAAAGCGAGUGUAGGUGGCUCAUUAAGUCACAUGUGAAAUCCCCGGGCUUAACCUGGGAACUGCAUGUGAUACUGGUGGUGCUAGAAUAUGUGAGAGGGAAG